UCCAGACUCCUACGGGAGGCAGCAGUGGGGAAUAUUGCGCAAUGGGGGAAACCCUGACGCAGCAACGCCGCGUGAGUGAGGAAGUAUCUCGGUAUGUAAAGCUCUAUCAGCGGGGAAGAAGGAAGACGGUACCCGACUAAGAAGCCCCGGCUAACUACGUGCCAGCAGCCGCGGUAAUACGUAGGGGGCAAGCGUUAUCCGGAUUUACUGGGUGUAAAGGGAGCGUAGACGGCGGUGCAAGCCAGAUGUGAAAGCCCGGGGCUCAACCCCGGGACUGCAUUUGGAACUGUGCUGCUAGAGUGUCGGAGAGGCAGGCGGAAUUCCUAGUGUAGCGGUGAAAUGCGUAGAUAUUAGGAGGAACACCAGUGGCGAAGGCGGCCUGCUGGACGAUGACUGACGUUGAGGCUCGAAAGCGUGGGGAGCAAACAGGAUUAGAUACCCCAGUAC
rnacentral:rRNA from 1 species